AUGCAGUCAGCUCGUUCCCCUCGCAAUUCCCCUGUUAUCCAAAUCCCUAGUUUUGUUCCCCUCGCAACGCUCGUCGCCGCCGCCCACCGCUCGCCGUCGCCAUCGCCCUGCGCUCGCCGCUGCCCAUUGCCUUCGUCCUCGUCACCCGCCAUGUCCAGCAGCAGUUCUGCCCGAUCUGGACGCCGCGGGAGGACAGUGGUGGUGCCGCUCAUCUCAUGCCCUCGCUGCGGCUGCCAAGUGAGGUUCUACGUGUCCAACACGGAGGAGCAUGAGGGAUGGGUGUUCUACAGAUGUGUGACCCAAGGAUGUGUUUUCUGGCAUUGGGAGAGGGAAUACGUGGCCUACCUUGUAGAUCAUCGUUAUCUUGUUGGGCAUGAAGCUGUUGAUGCAAUUGGAGCAACAGAAGAUAGGAGGGAACAGCUUGAGAGAGAAACAGAAGGAAGAAGAAGGGUUGCAGAGAGAAAUGCAUGUCAGAGGAUAAGUAUGCAGAUGCAAGAACAGCCCGGAGCUAGCAUGAACAUCACGAGGGCAGAAGCUCGUGCACUUCUUAAUUUAGGUGUGCAGAUGCUGUUGAAACUGCUGCUUGGUGGUGUAUUGGUGCUUGUUGUGCUAUGUGUCAUGCUGCUGUUGAAGAAAUGA
rnacentral:rRNA from 1 species